AGUCGAACGCUUCUUUUUCCACCGGAGCUUGCUCCACCGGAAAAAGAAGAGUGGCGAACGGGUGAGUAACACGUGGGUAACCUGCCCAUCAGAAGGGGAUAACACUUGGAAACAGGUGCUAAUACCGUAUAACAAUCAAAACCGCAUGGUUUUGAUUUGAAAGGCGCUUUCGGGUGUCGCUGAUGGAUGGACCCGCGGUGCAUUAGCUAGUUGGUGAGGUAACGGCUCACCAAGGCCACGAUGCAUAGCCGACCUGAGAGGGUGAUCGGCCACAUUGGGACUGAGACACGGCCCAAACUCCUACGGGAGGCAGCAGUAGGGAAUCUUCGGCAAUGGACGAAAGUCUGACCGAGCAACGCCGCGUGAGUGAAGAAGGUUUUCGGAUCGUAAAACUCUGUUGUUAGAGAAGAACAAGGAUGAGAGUAACUGUUCAUCCCUUGACGGUAUCUAACCAGAAAGCCACGGCUAACUACGUGCCAGCAGCCGCGGUAAUACGUAGGUGGCAAGCGUUGUCCGGAUUUAUUGGGCGUAAAGCGAGCGCAGGCGGUUUCUUAAGUCUGAUGUGAAAGCCCCCGGCUCAACCGGGGAGGGUCAUUGGAAACUGGGAGACUUGAGUGCAGAAGAGGAGAGUGGAAUUCCAUGUGUAGCGGUGAAAUGCGUAGAUAUAUGGAGGAACACCAGUGGCGAAGGCGGCUCUCUGGUCUGUAACUGACGCUGAGGCUCGAAAGCGUGGGGAGCAAACAGGAUUAGAUACCCUGGUAGUCCACGCCGUAAACGAUGAGUGCUAAGUGUUGGAGGGUUUCCGCCCUUCAGUGCUGCAGCUAACGCAUUAAGCACUCCGCCUGGGGAGUACGACCGCAAGGUUGAAACUCAAAGGAAUUGACGGGGGCCCGCACAAGCGGUGGAGCAUGUGGUUUAAUUCGAAGCAACGCGAAGAACCUUACCAGGUCUUGACAUCCUUUGACCACUCUAGAGA
rnacentral:rRNA from 1 species